CCUACGGGUGGCAGCAGUGGGGAAUAUUGGACAAUGGGGGAAACCCUGAUCCAGCAAUGCCGCGUGAAUGAAGAAGGCCUUAGGGUUGUAAAGUUCUUUUGUCCGUGACGAUAAUGACGGUAGCGGACGAAUAAGCCCUGGCUAACUCUGUGCCAGCAGCCGCGGUAAUACAGAGAGGGCAAGCGUUGUCCGGAAUGACUGGGCGUAAAGCGCGCGCAGGCGGUCUUUUAAGUUGGGUGUGAAAUCCCCGGGCUUAACCUGGGAACUGCAUUCGAUACUGGAAGACUAGAGGCCGAGAGAGGAAAGCGGAAUGACGAGUGUAGAGGUGAAAUUCGUAGAUAUUCGUCGGAACACCAGAGGCGAAGGCGGCUUUCUGGCUCGGACCUGACGCUCAGGCGCGAAAGCGUGGGGAGCAAACAGGAUUAGAUACCCCGGUAGUC
rnacentral:rRNA from 1 species